rnacentral:rRNA from 1 species
AACGAACGCUGGCGGCACGCCUAACACAUGCAAGUCGAACGAUAAGCUAUCUUCGGAUAGUGGACAGUGGCGGACGGGUGAGUAACACGUGGGAACAUACCUUUUGGUACGGAACAACCAUUGGAAACGAUGGCUAAUACCGUAUACGUCCUUAGGGAGAAAGAUUUAUCGCCGAAAGAUUGGCCCGCGCUAGAUUAGCUAGUUGGUAAGGUAAAAGCUUACCAAGGCGACGAUCUAUAGCUGGUUUGAGAGGAUGAUCAGCCACACUGGGACUGAGACACGGCCCAG